ACCGACGUUAAGCAACGUUGAGCCUGGUUAGUACUGAGAUGGGUGACCGCUUGGAAAUACCAGGUGCUGUAAU